rnacentral:lncRNA from 1 species
UUCCUCACCACUUCUAGAAGGAGCCAUAAAAAACCAAAAUAGAUACCUUCCCUCACCACUUCUAGAAGGAGCCAUAAAAAAAACAAAAUAGAUGGAGGUUAAUUAGGGGAAAUAGGUCCAUCCAUAACUCCAGACCUAUAAUUGCAGCUGGGCCCUUUAAGAUGAAGACCAGAGCAGAACUGAUUAUCUUUGACAUUCUGCAGUAGCUUGGAAAAAAGUUAAUGUUUAAAUUGAUUUUAAAGGAAGUAAAAAAAGAAUUCUCAAGGCUCCCUUCAUAUUGCUAACUCAUAUUUUGAUUUCCUAAACCUUUAAUUUUUUCAUUUGAUUCACCAAAGAGAAAGCCAGUAGUAGUACAAGUCAAUCCAAUGGUAUUUUUAAGGACUGUUUGCCUCCUACAGCCUUUGUUGGUUAAACUCAAGUGCUCAGUUUGGGAGAGGGAAGAGGGUGUGCCUUUUUGUGUGUCUGUGGCCAAGUGAUUCAGUGAGGCGAAUCAGUUUUAAGAAGAGUGUAUGCCCAUUGUCUCAGAGAGAGAAUAAAUGAGUCAUUUUGGUGAUAUAUGUGUGUGUGUGGAUAUGGAUAUGUUUCCAUAUCCAUACUUUGUGGGCACAGCUAGGGGUUACCAAAACGGCAUCAAGCGAGGCAUGUGGUUUCUAACAUGCUUCUUUUCCAUCAACAUAUCCUGGACACAUUUUUUUCAUGUCAAUAGUAACAGCAUUAAAAGUUG